rnacentral:rRNA from 1 species
AUGCAUUCUUCCUCCAUACUAUAUCGCCUACUGAAGUUGUCAUCAUCAGCAUUGGCAUUGUUCUGUUCCAUUGGUGUAUUGUUUUCCACAGUUUGCAUCACUUCAAGUUUUGUCUCAACUUGCCUCAUUGUAGGCCUAUCUUCACCCUUUAAGCUUAAGCACAUCAGUGCUACUGCUGCAACUUCUUUGGCUUCUUCAGACCCUUCCUCGAUGACUUGCUGGUCUAGCAUCUCGAAGAGUUUGUCUUGGUUUACUCUCAAGAUGAAUUCAGCAGUUAGACUGGCUCCUGGUGUUGACAGGUGGACACAUGGCUUCUUCCUUGUUAAUAUCUCCACAAGCAUGACACCAAAGCUAUACACAUCACUUUUCUCGGUGAGUCGCCGUGUGUGGUAA